ACCGACGGAUAUUCUUGCCAAGGG
rnacentral:siRNA from 1 species